UUAAUUUGAUGAAAAUUAUCAGUAAGCUUUUCAAUUACUACUAAAAGAGAUUCGCGAACAAAACCCGCAAUUUCAUUCAAACAUGUUGAACCGAAACGUUUUCGUAUUACUCUUUGUCGGAGUCAUCGUUUGUCAGCUCCUCAUUUCGGUCGAUGCUGAAGGCGAUAAGAAGAACCAUCCAAAAAAUCUGAAAAAAAAUGAUUCGUUUCUCAAGAGAAGUGCAAGCAAGGUAAAGGAAGCGGUUAAUAAUCUUAUCAGCCCACCAAUCAACGAGGAAGAGAUCAACGCCCGCCAUGAAUACAAACCAAUGAGCAAUGAAGAUAUCGAGUAUUGGACUAAUACUUAUAACAAAUAUAUUCGAGAAUGAUGAGAAAAUCAAUGAAGAAAUAGACGAUUAACAUCAAAAUCGAAAUCACUUUGUAUUACAAAUAAAAUAA